AUUGAACGCUGGCGGCAGGCCUAACACAUGCAAGUCGAGCGGAUGAAGGGUGCUUGCUCCUGGAUUCAGCGGCGGACGGGUGAGUAAUGCCUAGGAAUCUGCCUGGUAGUGGGUGAUAACGUCCGGAAACGGGCGCUCAUACCGCAUACGUCCUGAGGGAGAAAGUGGGGGAUCUUCGGACCUUACGCUAUCAGAUGAGCCUAGGUCGGAUUAGCUAGUUGGUGGGGUAAAGGCCUACCAAGGCGACGAUCCGUAACUGGUCUGAGAGGAUGAUCAGUCACACUGGAACUGAGACACGGUCCAGACUCCUACGGGAGGCAGCAGUGGGGAAUAUUGGACAAAGGGCGAAAGCCUGAUCCAGCCAUGCCGCGUGUGUGAAGAAGGUCUUCGGAUUGUAAAGCACUUUAAGUUGGGAAGAAGAGCAGUAAGUUAAUACCUUGCUGUUUUGACGGUACCAACAGAAUAAGCACCGGCUAACUUCGUG
rnacentral:rRNA from 1 species